rnacentral:rRNA from 1 species
UGGGGAAUUUUGGACAAUGGGCGAAAGCCUGAUCCAGCAAUGCCGCGUGUGUGAAGAAGGCCUUCGGGUUGUAAAGCACUUUUGUCCGGAAAGAAAUCCUUGGCUCUAAUACAGUCGGGGGAUGACGGUACCGGAAGAAUAAGCACCGGCUAACUACGUGCCAGCAGCCGCGGUAAUACGUAGGGUGCAAGCGUUAAUCGGAAUUACUGGGCGUAAAGCGUGCGCAGGCGGUUUGCUAAGACCGAUGUGAAAUCCCCGGGCUCAACCUGGGAACUGCAUUGGUGACUGGCAGGCUAGAGUAUGGCAGAGGGGGGUAGAAUUCCACGUGUAGCAGUGAAAUGCGUAGAGAUGUGGAGGAAUACCGAUGGCGAAGGCAGCCCCUGGGCCAAUACUGACGCUCAUGCACGAAAGCGUGGGGAGCAAACAGGAUUAGAUACCCUGGUAGUCCACGCCCUAAACGAUGUCAACUAGUUGUU